UGCCAGCCGCCGCGGUAAUACGGAGGGGGCAAGCGUUGUUCGGAAUUACUGGGCGUAAAGCGCGCGUAGGCGGUUUGUUAAGUCAGAUGUGAAAGCCCUGGGCUCAACCUGGGAACUGCACCUGAUACUGGCAAACUAGAGUACAGAAGAGGGUGGUGGAAUUUCCUGUGUAGCGGUGAAAUGCGUAGAUAUAGGAAGGAACACCAGUGGCGAAGGCGACUACCUGGACCGAUAUUGACACUGAGGUGCGAAAGCGUGGGGAGCAAACAGGAUUAGAUA
rnacentral:rRNA from 1 species